NNNUACAGAGAAGAUUAGCAUGGCCCCUGCACAAGGAUGACACGCAAAUUCGUGAAGCAUUCCAUAUUUUU
rnacentral:snRNA from 1 species